UAGGGAAUCUUCCGCAAUGGACGCAAGUCUGACGGAGCAACGCCGCGUGAGUGAAGAAGGAUUUCGGUUCGUAAAACUCUGUUGUUAGAGAAGAACAGCGCAUAGAGUAACUGUUAUGCGUGUGACGGUAUCUAACCAGAAAGCCACGGCUAACUACGUGCCAGCAGCCGCGGUAAUACGUAGGUGGCAAGCGUUGUCCGGAUUUAUUGGGCGUAAAGCGAGCGCAGGCGGUCAAUUAAGUCUGAUGUGAAAGCCCCCGGCUCAACCGGGGAGGGUCAUUGGAAACUGGUUGACUUGAGUGCAGAAGAGGAGAGUGGAAUUCCAUGAGUAGCGGUGAAAUGCGUAGAUAUAUGGAGGAACACCAGUGGCGAAGGCGACUCUCUGGUCUGUAACUGACGCUGAGGCUCGAAAGCGUGGGUAGCAAACAGG
rnacentral:rRNA from 1 species